GUCAUCCCCCUGAGCAUCGCUGCUGGCAAAAACCCAGUGUGAGGACCUCCUCAUGGAAUACCUGAGAUUCAUAUUGAAGCACUUACGGAUCAUGAUGCCAUACUGACAACUUAUUUUCAAAAAUGGAUAAUCAGCAAGUAAUACAGAGAGCUGCUUCCUUCAACAGCUGCAUUCAGCACAAAACCGAGGGCCGAUUAUGUGGAGAAAUAUCCUUCAGAGGCUGGUGGAGGCCGCUCUGCUUCAAGCUGUGAGCCGAGUCAGGGCUGCUUCACUUGUCUCUCAUCCUCUGGACCAGUGACCACCUGGGGUGGCAACAGGGCCAGAGGACGAGCAGAGACACAAGAGGCCUCCUAAGGCCUCAGCUCAGAACUAACAAACUCGCUUCUGCCCACAUUCCAUUGGCCAAAGCCCUGCAUGAGUUGUGGAAAAGUACUCUCCACUUUGGUGAACAUUAGUAAGAGAAAAGAGGGAAGGAAGAAUUGCAGGCAAGUAAUACCAUCUACCUCGGCCUCCUAUGCAGCUUGGUGUGUACCUGCACCUAAGUUCUGGCCUGUAGGAUAUGAGGGGAAGUGAGGUGUGCAACUCCAGGACCUGCCCCUGUAAAGACUGGGCCCUGCCUUUCCCCUGCCCAUCUGCUGGGGACAUGGUAGGACUGCAGCAGUUGCCUGGCCCAGAGAUAGACGGCACAGCUAUCCUGCUGGUCCUACCUCUAGACCGCCACAUGUACCUCACUUACACUGCUUGGGUUUUGCAUCUUAAAACCCCAAUUAGCACACCAUUCAUUCAUUCAUUCCCCCAUCAACAAGUAUGUACUGAGUGUCUUUUUGCCAGGCAUUGCACUAGGUUUUGGAGAGAUGACAGUGAACAAAAACAAACUUGGCUGUUCUGUAUCUUGGCUGUGGCAGUGGUUACACAAGCCUACACAUGUGAUAAAACUGCAUAGAACUAAAUACACACACACAGAGGAAUGCCAGUCAAACUGGGAAUUAAAGAAUCAAAAAGUCACUGGUGACUCAACAUGGCAGCAGUCCAGCUCAACCAUACAGAUGACAGCAGUGUGCUGAAGUAUGACAAAGGAAUGAUUUAAAAGGAAUUGAGGCAGAGCUGCCAGGCAGGCAUGCUCACCUUGGACUUUGAAGCAAGAGAGACAUAAAUAAAGGUCUUUGUUCUGUAAGUAGAGUGUUCAUAUAAUUUAUCAUCCAAACUGAGACACCUGUGAAAAUAAUUACACUGGAACAACUUGUGUGACUGAUCAGCUGGUCACUCCAUCUUUAAGUCAUUGUCUUGUUGAGUCUGUUAUCAGAGCCCAUGGAGUGCCAUGCAUGGACAGCUUAUUUAGGCACAACAGAGAAAAAUUAAAGGGAAGGAGGAGCAAGGAAGAGUGGAAAGGAUAAAGAAAUGGUGAGCAUUGGCAGGAAACAAUGCAAGGAGAAAAGGGAACAGGAAUCGGAUUUUCUACUAAUUUGCUGUGUGUUCCUGUGUCAGUUUAUAAAUUAGUGUCUAUAUUUACAACCGAUUGGAAGAACGAACUUUUUAGAUCCUCUCAUCCAACAAAGCUGCAGAUUUCUUUAUUGAGAUGGAGUUGAGAAAGCUUUAAAACAGGCCAAAGCAACAUGAGGACAUGUGUCAUGAGAAGAGAAAUGGUCUUCCAUAAAUUGAGUGCUGGGGAAGGCUUGGUGUAGGUAAUGUAGAGGUUCUCAAACUGUGGAGAAGCUCAAAAUGUGUUCCUUUGAGCCUUGGUCUUCUAGUUAGGCCACUGUCUAAGCCACUAUACAAAAAGACACCAAACACACUGGCUUCAACAAGACAAGCCUCUGUUUCUCUUUCGGGUGACAGGAGAAGCAGAGGACUAAGCUUUCUUUUCCAAGUCAUCACCUGAAAGUUGCCCCUUCACUUCUGCUCACAUUGCAUUGGCCAGAGACUUGAAAGGAAGCUGGGCACGUGCUGUGGGGAAAAGAAAGAGAGAUCAGAUUGUUACUGUGUCUGUAUAGAAAGAAGUAGACGUAGGAGACUCCAUUCUGUUCUGUACUAAGAAAAAUUCUGCCUUGAGAUUCUGUUAAUCUGUGACCUUACCCCCAACCCU
rnacentral:lncRNA from 10 species